CCAAUAGCGUAUAUUAAAGUUGUUGCAGUUAAAAAGCUCGUAGUUGAAUUUCGGGAUUGACGUGAUGGUCGUGCCUUACGGGGUAUGAACUGUUGCUGUUGAUUUCUCACCUUCUGGAGAAACUUGAUGUCCUUAAUUGGGUGUCUUGCGGAUCCAGGACCUUUACCUUGAAAAAAUUAGAGUGUUUAAAGCAGGCAUUUUGCUCGAAUACAUUAGCAUGGAAUAAUAGAAUAGGACGGCAUGGUUCUAUUUUGUUGGUUUCUAGGAUAACCGUAAUGAUUAAUAGGGAUAGUUGGGUGCAUUAGUAUUCAAUUGUCAGAGGUGAAAUUCUUGGAUUUAUUGAAGACUAACUACUGCGAAAGCAUUUGCCAAGGAUGUUUUCAUUAAUCAAGAACGAAAGUUAGGUGAUCGAAGACGAUCAGAUACCGUCGUAGUCUUAACCAUAAACUAUGCCGACUAGGAAUCAGACGAUGUUAAUUUUUUAAUGACUCGUUUGGCACCUUACG
rnacentral:rRNA from 1 species